rnacentral:rRNA from 1 species
CCCACGGGAGGCUGCAGUGGGGAAUAUUGGACAAUGGGGGGAACCCUGAUCCAGCCAUGCCGCGUGUGUGAAGAAGGCCCUCGGGUUGUAAAGCACUUUCAGUGAGGAAGAACGCCUGGUGGUUAAUACCCAUCAGGAAAGACAUCACUCACAGAAGAAGCACCGGCUAACUCCGUGCCAGCAGCCGCGGUAAUACGGAGGGUGCGAGCGUUAAUCGGAAUUACUGGGCGUAAAGCGCGCGUAGGUGGCUUGAUAAGCCGGUUGUGAAAGCCCCGGGCUCAACCUGGGAACGGCAUCCGGAACUGUCAAGCUAGAGUGCAGGAGAGGAAGGUAGAAUUCCCGGUGUAGCGGUGAAAUGCGUAGAGAUCGGGAGGAAUACCAGUGGCGAAGGCGGCCUUCUGGACUGACACUGACACUGAGGUGCGAAAGCGUGGGUAGCAAACAGGAUUAGAUACCCCAGUAGUC